rnacentral:tRNA from 1 species
GGAGCUGGAGCUCAGUGGUAGAGUGCUUGCCUCACAAGCUUGAGGCCUGGGUUCAAUCCUCAGCACCCCA